rnacentral:rRNA from 1 species
GAUGAACGCUGGCGGCGUGCCUAAUACAUGCAAGUCGAGCGAACGGACGAGAAGCUUGCUUCUCUGAUGUUAGCGGCGGACGGGUGAGUAACACGUGGAUAACCUACCUAUAAGACUGGGAUAACUUCGGGAAACCGGAGCUAAUACCGGAUAAUAUUUUGAACCGCAUGGUUCAAAAGUGAAAGACGGUCUUGCUGUCACUUAUAGAUGGAUCCGCGCUGCAUUAGCUAGUUGGUAAGGUAACGGCUUACCAAGGCAACGAUGCAUAGCCGAUCUGAGAGGGUGAUCGGCCACACUGGAACUGAGACACGGUCCAGACUCCUACGGGAGGCAGCAGUAGGGAAUCUUCCGCAAAGGGCGAAAGCCUGACGGAGCAACGCCGCGUGAGUGAUGAAGGUCUUCGGAUCGUAAAACUCUGUUAUUAGGGAAGAACAUAUGUGUAAGUAACUGUGCACAUCUUGACGGUACCUAAUCAGAAAGCCACGGCUAACUACGUG